UCCAGUGCUAUUCUCGUGAGAUUGAAUAAGUCUCAUGAGAUCUGAUGGUUUUAUAAAAGGGAGUUCCCCUGAACAAUCUCUUUUGCCUGCAGUCAUGUAAGAUGUCCCUUGCUCUUCCGCCAUGACUGUGAGGCCUUCCCAGCCAUGUGUAACUGUAUUCUUUACAAUGGAUCUCAUCUCACCUGAAAUUGUCACAAAGAUGAUCAAAUGAACAAACAGCAAUUCAUGAUUCCUGACCUGUUUCAGGCUCCACAGAGAAAUAGGGCUGCC